GCCUGGGUGGCUCAGUCGGUUGAGCAUCCGACUUCGGCUCAGAUCAUGAUCCCACGGUUCAUGGGUUCGAGCCCCGCCUCGGGCU
rfam:Felis catus isolate Cinnamon breed Abyssinian chromosome B3, whole genome shotgun sequence.